rnacentral:rRNA from 1 species
GAUGAACGCUGGCGGUCUGCUUAACACAUGCAAGUCGAACGGAAUCCGCAAGGAUUUAGUGGCGGACGGGUGAGUAACGCGUGAGAAUCUACUUUCAGGACGGAGACAACAGUUGGAAACGACUGCUAACCCCCGAUGAACCGAAAGGGCAAAUAUUUAUAGCCUGAAGAAGAGCUCGCGUCCGAUUAGCUAGUUGGAGAGGUAAAAGCUCACCAAGGCGACGAUCGGUAGCCGGUCUGAGAGGACGAUCAGCCACACUGGGACUGAGACACGGCCCAGACUCCUACGGGAGGCAGCAGUGGGGAAUUUUCCGCAAUGGGCGAAAGCCUGACGGAGCAAGACCGCGUGGGGGAAGAAGGCUCUUGGGUUGUAAACUCCUUCUCUCUGGGAAGAACAAAAUGACGGUACCAGAGGAAUCAGCAUCGGCUAACUCCGUGCCAGCGGCCGCGGUAAGACGGAGGAUGCAAGCGUUAUCCGGAAUGAUUGGGCGUAAAGCGUCCGCAGGUGGCAGUUCAAGUCUGCUGUCAAAGACCGGGGCUCAACCUCGGAAAGGCAGUGGAAACUGAACAGCUAGAGUAUGGUAGGGGCAAAGGGAAUUCCUGGUGUAGCGGUGAAAUGCGUAGAGAUCAGGAAGACAUCGGUGGCGAAGGCGCUUUGCUGGACCAUAACUGACACUCAGGGACGAAAGCUAGGGGAGCGAAUGGAUUAGAUACCCCAGUAGUCCUAGCCGUAAACGAUGGAUACUAGGUGUUGUCUG